UAUGGCCACAUCACGUUGAAACAUCGGUUCCCGUACAUUCACUGAAGUUAAGCAACGUCGAACCUGGUCAGUUACUAGAUGGGUGACCGCUUGGAAAUACCAUGUGCUGUAAG